rnacentral:rRNA from 1 species
GAUGAACGCUGGCGGCGUGCCUAAUACAUGCAAGUCGAGCGAAUGAUGAGGAGCUUGCUCCUCUGAUUUAGCGGCGGACGGGGGAGUAACACGUGGGUAACCUGCCUGUAAGAUGGGGAUAACUCCGGGAAACCGGGGCUAAUACCGCAUAAUAAAAGAGGAAGCAUUUCUUCUUUUUGAAAGUUGGUUUCGGCUAACCCUUACAGAUGGGCCCGCGGCGCAUUGGCUAGUUGGUGAGGUAACGGCUCACCAAGGCGACGAUGCGUAACCGACCUGAGAGGGGGAUCGGCCACACUGGGACUGAGACACGGCCCAGACUCCUACGGGAGGCAGCAGUAGGGAAUCUUCGGCAAUGGGCGAAAGCCUGACCGAGCAACGCCGCGUGAGCGAGGAAGGCCUUCGGGUCGUAAAGCUCUGUUGUCAGGGAAGAACAAGUACGAGAGUAACUGCUCGUACCUUGACGGUACCUGACCAGAAAGCCACGGCUAACUACGUGCCAGCCGCCGCCGUAA